AUGUUCUUCAUUAUAUUAACAGAACUCAAGAGCGAAGUCCUAUCAGUAGAGGGGCAGGAAAACACCGUGGCAAAAUCUCCAACUCCUUUCCUAAGAACACUCAGAAGACGGUGGGCGGAGUGCAGUCUCUCAGCCGCGCGCACCGCAGAGGCCACGACUGUGCCCUGUGAAGGGGCGGCAGCUUUUCGAGAUGGGAACGGGAUAAGGAUUUCCGUCUGGGCCCGGCAUCCCGCAGGAGGUCUGAGCCGCUGUAAUAAGAAUCAAUCGCAAGCUAACUUCCCAGCGGUUGUCCAAAAAAAGCGAAUUGGGCUGUGAAGGUUCAGCAAACGUGGUGGCAGAUCGCAGGCUCUGCAGAUCUGGGCCCGAGGUCCGAGCUUCACUCACAGGGGCAGGUGUGCGAGGUGCGGGCGAGCUCCACACUCAUGGCCAUACGGAGCCUCAGACGGCGGCUCUGAGGAGGGCGCUCAGUCUGGCCCUUUUUUAUUUAAAAAUCAAGGAAUAUUUUUAUAUUUUAUUUCAUAGCGUUUAUGACCACAAGAAAGAAAACAAGACAGUGAACCAAAC
rnacentral:lncRNA from 1 species